UACGAAGGGGGCUAGCGUUGUUCGGAAUAACUGGGCGUAAAGAGCUCGUAGGCGGAUUUGCAAGUCAGGGGUGAAAUCCCGGGGCUUAACCUCGGAACUGCCUUUGAAACUGCAAAUCUGGAAUCUCAGAGGGGAUAGCGGAAUUCCUAAUGUAGGGGUGAAAUCCGUAGAUAUUAGGAGGAGCACCGGUGGCGAAGGCGGCUAUCUGGAUGAGUAUUGACGCUGAGGAGCGAAAGCGUGGGGAUCAAACAGG
rnacentral:rRNA from 1 species